GCAUGGCGUCUGGGGGUCCGGAGGGGAGGAGCAGGGGGUCUGGGUGUGGUUGUCACGGGUGGAGCAUGGGGUCUCCCUGUGGUCUGGAGGGUGGAGCAGGGGGUCUGGGGGUGGUACUUAUGGACGGGACAGGGCUAUUUGUCUUUUUGGUCCGGUUCCCAUCUGCUGAGCUGGGGGUCCUUGUGAUCCUGACAGGUGGGGCAGGAUGGGAGGGUCAAGGUGAGGGGAAGGAAGGAGUGGCGGCUUCGUCCCAAGGGGGCAGGAAAGGGUUUGUGGUUCAGUUCUGAUGUGCGACCCAUCCAUAGCAGAAUGGACACCUCUGACUCUCCCAUUCCUGGCCAGUGGCAGGGCCAAGUAGCUGCCUUCCCUGGCUGUCCUCGAGGCUCACUGGAAAUACUUUUUGUUCAUUGUGGCAAAUUUUUAAAAAUUCUUCUAUAGAUCUCAAUGAGUUGAAAGCUGCCUCUGUGCCGGCAUAGUUCCGUUCUUUGCCUACAUUCCACUCUACUCGGCUGAAAGGAAAUGAUAGUGUCUCACUCUGUCAUCUAUCACCCAGGCUGGAGUGCAAUGGUGCGAUCUAGGCUCACUGCAACCUCUGCCUCCCAGGUUCAAGCGAUUCUCGCACCUCAGCCUCCCGGUAGCUGGCAUUGUAGCACGACAAGCCACAGAAAUAUUCCUCAGACACCGGGUUAAAGAAAGAAGGGCUUUCUUCGGCCAGGAGGGUCAGCACCCUUGCGUCUUAAGAGCCCAGCUCCCCGAAAAAGGAAUUCCUGGGCCUUUUAAGGGUUUACGACUCUAAGAGGUUCACAUGAAAGGGUCGUGAUAGAUGGAGCAAGCGUGGGGAAUGUGACUGAGGGCUACAUGCAUCAGAUAACAGUACAGAAAGUUUUUCAGUGCUUCCUCA